CUGGCGGCAUGCCUUACACAUGCAAGUCGAACGGCAGGCACGGGAGCAAUCCUGGUGGCGAGUGGCGAACGGGUGAGUAAUAUAUCGGAACGUGCCCGGUCGUGGGGGAUAACGUAGCGAAAGCUACGCUAAUACCGCAUACGAUCUACGGAUGAAAGCGGGGGAUCGCAAGACCUCGCGCGAUUGGAGCGGCCGAUAUCAGAUUAGGUAGUUGGUGAGGUAAAGGCUCGCCAAGCCGACGAUCUGUAGCUGGUCUGAGAGGACGACCAGCCACACUGGGACUGAGACACAGCCCAGACUCCUACGGGAGGCAGCAGUGGGGAAUUUUGGACAAUGGGCGCAAGCCUGAUCCAGCAAUGCCGCGUGCAGGAUGAAGGCCUUCGGGUUGUAAACUGCUUUUGUACGGAACGAAACGGUGAGCUCUAAUGCAGUUUGCUAAUGACGGUACCGUAAGAAUAAGCACCGGCUAACUACGUG
rnacentral:rRNA from 1 species